AAAGAGGAAAGAAAGAAAGAGCAAAACCCUAGUUAGAAAAAUUCAAGAGAAAAUUUUGGAAUUUCAAGGAAUCAAGUGACAAAAGGUAAGAUAUUUCAAUUUUAUCUUGAGAUCUAUCUUUCCUAAGCAUUCUUUCUCAUUUUCCAUGGUUGAAAUUCAUGAUUUCAUGACAAAUCCCUUGUUGGCCGAACCUAGGGGGAGAAGAUUUGAUGAUGAAUUUAGUUAGAACACAUGUUAUUCUAGUGUUUUUAGUUGGUUGGUGAUGUGUAGCAUGAAAAGCAAACAAGAAAAAUUCAUGUUCUUCCAUCACCCUCAUUGGCCGAAUCUUCCUUAUGGCAUGUUGAUGGUGGAUUUGAUUUUAUUUCAAGUGAUUUGGUUAAGAACUAAUGAUUUAUGGUAUAAAAAAAAUCAAGUAUGAAAAACCAUAUUGUUUAUGCACCCACCAUGGCCGAAUUUCAUAAGGAACCUAGUGAUGAUGAUUCUUGUGAUAUCUUGUGUUAUUUAGUUAGAAUUUAAUGAAUGGUGGUGAUGAAAAUCGAAAAUGGUAAUUUUAAAGUAUAGUUCUUUUAGUAAAUAAGUUGAAUAACAAUGAGAAAGUCAAGCUCAUUGAGGCACUUUGGUGUAUUUUGGGUCAUUGGAAGUGUGAUGAAUAUAAUUGGAGUCAAUUUGGAUGUUUUGGUUAAAUCAAAGGUGGAAAGUUCGAAUUAGGUCGAAAAUCGAUCCAUUUCGAUCACAAUUGAACCAACGUGUAACACCGUCUUUAAGUGACUAUCCGAGCAACCUCAUGCAUUCAUAUAGAGCCUGAAAUAGAUUUAUAAUGACAUGACACAAUAUAUUGAAUUAUUUGUUAUGUAUUGUGUAUAGGUGGUGAGUCUUCUAACAAGGGUAAAGACAUUGUGCCAGAGGACCAAGAGUAGGAGUAUUUCGAACUCCCGAUAUCGUGAGUAACCUUAUUAUCAUCUUAAUUAUCUAAAGUAGUUUUUAUUCGUUUUUGUGAUUUUAUAGAAAAAUGAGUUUAAAUGGUAAAUCCUUAUGUUUUAUAAGUAAAAUGUGAUUAAAUUAAAUGAGUUUUAUAAAUCAUUUUGAAAUUGAAUGAUGAUUUUAGAAAUUGAGUAAUUGGAGAUUGUUUGAUUGUGUUGUAAAUUUAUGGUUUGAAUGGCUGAAUUAGAAAUUGUGUUGAAAUUGUAUGAACUGUUUGUUUUGCCUUAACAGACUGGGUAGUAAUAUAAUUGUCGUGUCAUGCUGUCGAAACUUUUAUUGAUUAGUCACUGCAGUGGUGGGUUUUCGUGGACUAGCCUAUUAAAGAGGGGCACGGUAAACCCAGUUAUAUUUUAUCUCGGUACGAAAGGCACAGAGGGUAUCUUCUGAGGUAAAGCUUUAGAGUUCACUACACGUUAAACCACCACGUGAGGGUGAACUCAGCCAAUGCCAAGGAACGCCUAUGCUUUUAAACGUAAAAAUGUGUUUUAUGUGUAUAUGAACUUUUCUUUAAUAGCCUUGGCGGACUCAGUUAGAGGCCUCGACCAAGGUAUCCCUGAGAAUGAAUUUUGGCACGAGCCAAAUUUUUAAGAAACUCAUAAGCCAUGUUGAUUAUUUGAGUGAAAUGAAUUUGUUUUGUUUAGUUGAAAUGAGUUUGAAACGUUAUGAAUCAUAGUACGAUGAACUAUUUUAAGUUGUCUCCAUUUACUUGACUUUAGAUAUUUUAGAUGAUGUUGUUUACUCACUGAGUUUAUAUAAACUCACCACCCUCCUUUUCACUCAUUUCAAGCUCAGGUUAGUCUGUAGAUAGCUGAUUUCGUCGAGGGCUACAGUUGGAUUUGUAUCUUCAAAAAUCGUAGGUUCGCAACCUUCAUUACUUUUGGUCAUUCGAGGGGGCCCACAUGUCAUUGUAAAUUAAAUUACACACUUUGGCUCACUGUGUUACUAUAUGUACGAAUUUAUUUUGCUUUUAUGCUACAAAAAUUAUUUACGGAUAUCUCUAAAAAUAUUAUUUCAUAAGAAAAUAGAAUAUUUUAUUUAAUAUUUUUAUUUUAUUCUAAUAGCUAUCAUUUCACUUUAAAUGAAUGUUUUUGACAUCUAAACUUAUUUUUGGUUAUGAAAUAUGUAUCUUUCACUCAUAUACUACAUUUUUAGAUGGUUUCAAAAUUUUUGAAGAAAAAUGACCAAAAUACCCCUAUGAGACAAAAAUUAUUUUUUUAUUGUUUUGGUUUGGAAAUAGCUUAUAAUCUUUUAAAAUAUAAUAUUAGCAACUGUUGCUCGCAAAGGAGGUGAGAAAACUGAUAUUAAAGCCUUGCGGGGUUUCGAUUGGCAUUUUAGGUAAUGAAUGUCUAUCGGGACAUCAUGGCGGUUGUCACAGGCUCGAGGAGAGUACCGGGUCGUGACAUCAUGAUCACCCAAAUGUUAGAGAGUCAAUUAAAAAAUUUGACAAGCCCUUCAAUGAUAAGCCUCUUAGUGCAAUACGGUCUUUUCAUCAAAUAUCUCAAAUGUGUCAUAAAGCAUGGCUUAGUGUCUACUUAUGACAUUCCAUAUUUGUUCUCAUAAUUUAUGACUAACCUUAUAAAUAGGAAACUAACUUUCCUCAAAUUCAUCAUACGUUGGCCAAAGACUAUAUACAAGUUAAUCUAGAAUUGAAAACAAGUGAGAUACAUCCCCUCAUAUCACUUGGGAUGAUGAAUCCUCUCUUUACCACUCAUCCAUCUUUGCAUGCUUUAUGGCAUACCCAAAAACACCCUGUUUAAGAAUCUAGUCACUUCCAGGCCCGUAAGGGUGAAAUCAAAGUAUGUCAUUCUCCAUACAAGAUUACUAGAUGUCUCAAGUUUGAGGACUAGUUGCACGACUAUUACAUGAUAACAUAUUCCAUAGACACUUGAGUGAAAUACCAAAUGAAGUUCUCAUAACGAGUCAUGUUUAGUGAACUUGCUCUUUAACAAACACCUACAUGUUAUCCUCAAGUAUCCCAUAUGCUUCUAUCUAUGAGAUCAAUUGCUUAUUUCCUAAGGUAGCUUAACAUGUACCAAUCUUUGAGCAUUGUCAAUUGACAAUACAAUGACCAAGAACAAUUUUAGGAACAUGGCUUUGAUGCAUAAUGAUCUCAUAAUUGUAACAACUUUACAAUUCCCUUGCUAGGCCUUUAUUUCCAUGGCUUCAUUCAAUUAGUACUUAAUAACUCCUUAUUAUUGCACUAACAUGAAGGAAAACCUCUAUCACAUAUAGUUAUGUGAUUAAAUAUGCAUUAAAUGACAAUAUAUAUUCCUUGAUCAAUCCAAUUAGCUCAAGGGCAUAUACGAACAAUCUCCCACUUGCACUUAAGUUAAUUGCUAAUGUAUCCAAUAUUGAACUCUUUCGCUUAGCAACUGUGUCUUUACUAAGACAACUUAGAUUGCAAUAUUUAGGGAUAUGUUAAUUUAUAUGUUUGACAAUCUUUAUUGUCAUAAUUGAAAUACUAAUUUAGAUCACAACAAGACCUUGAUUUCAUUAUUAUGGCUCUUGUUGUUACUUUAACAAAUCGAAAUCAUUUAUUGGUUUAUUAAACCAAUUAUCCAAAUAUCUUUCCUUUUGUAGCCUAAACAAAAGGCUUAUCUCUGAUUAUAGAUAUAAUCGUAUAGUUAUCUCUUGUUUUGGAACCAUUCGAAUAUAACAGGUCAAUCAUGAUUAUUUAGUCUUUUAACAUGUUAAGAUUUUCUCUAUGAUAAAUUCCUUUAACAUGUCAUCCUAAAUUCUUUUGUUGAGUCUUUUUUUAGGCUUUAAAUGUUUAGUCCUAUUUCAUUUUUUUCCUUAGACUGGCAAAUGAAUCUUAUACACUUUUAAUGAGUAAUUUAUCUUAUUCCCACUAACCUUAUGAUGUGCACAAAAUAUGUUUAUCUUAUUCAAUGUAUUCAACUACUUUGAAUUUAUUCCAUUGAAUAGAGAUUAUUAUCCAAUCAUUCACGUUGGAUCAUUUAAUAUACUCAUUUAUAUGAGUAGUGCAUCAAUAUGCAUCCUACUAAUGGUUUUGUUUGUAUUAAAACCACUAAGGUGAUCCAUGGGUGGCAGCAUGGGAUUCUAUUUAGAUUUUUUUUUCUGUUGCAUAUAACAUAACUGUUAUGUAUGAUCUCUUCCAUGCUGCAUAAAACCCAACACAUUUUGCUCAAAGUUUUUGUCAUAUCAAAAAGGGGGAGAUUGUUAGCUUUAUUAGUUUUAAAUUGUUAUAGUUUUAAAAUGACAAAAAUAGUCAAGAUUGCUUGAAUGAGUUUUGCAUUUAAAUUAUUCAUGUUAAAAACUCUCAUGCAUUUGCUCUUGAAAUAUCUAACUACUUAACAUAGUUUUAAAGACAUUGCACUCUUAAAUCUAGGGGUGCUUUGUCAUCAUCAAAAACAGGGGGAGAUUGUUGACUCCUUAUGUUUUUUAUAACAACAAAACAUUCCUCAUUCUUUAAGUUUAACUAUGUUACUUAAGUGUGUAGGAGUAAAGUUGUAAUUUAACAAUAUGUUUUAAGUCUCAAGAAAUAGAUUAAAGCAAGUUAGAGGACAUUUUCAAAGGUUUAAUCAACUAACAUAUUAGUUUAAUCAAUCAAUCAAGCCCAGAAGAAAGGAUUUAGAAGUUCAACGAAGAAUUUAAUCAAUUAACACAAGGUUUAACCAAUUAAAGUGACACUUGAAGAUACAUUGAGAGUGUAGGAACAAGUUUAAUUGAUUAACAUAAGGUUUAAUAGAUUAAAGAGGUAUUGGAAAAGAUAUUAAAACAUGAUUAAUUGAUGAACCAUAGGGUUUAAUUAAUUAAAAUUCAAAUAGAAGGUAUGUCAGAGCUUUAAAGUGUAAAUUGAAAUUCAAUAUGACCAUUGAAAGGUGCUAAUUGAAAAUUUUUGAAUUUAAAAGGACUUUACUCAAUAAAGAGGAAGCAAAGAGGUUUUAAUCUAUUAAAGCCAAGAUUAAUUGAUUAAUCCAUGAAGAAUAAUGAGACAAGCAAAAAGACUUUAAUCGAUUAAAGCUCACUUUACACGGUUAAACAGGCUAGUUGACCAAAUUAAAAAAUUGCUAAAAGACAAAACAAUAGGCAAAUUCCUUCUAAACGUCUUUAAUGGCUAGAAUUCACCCUCCAGCUAUAAAAGAGGCUUCAAAUGGUCAUAAAUGUAAGAGAAAACCAUGCAAGAGCAUGAUUAGAGCUACGAAGUGUAGUACCCCGUAUUUUGAUACGAUGGCUAAUAAAGUUUACAGAUGUCAAUUAAGGUUAAUUACUGAGUUAAAAAGGGUAAUUCAAAAGUGAACUUGUAAAAUCUCGAUCUCUAUAGACACAUAACUAGAAGUAGACUCGAUAAUGUGGACUAGGGGUAAUUUCAUAAUUUCUCUUAGUGAGCUUCUACGAGUGGGGUUUGUUUGAUGCUAUUAAGGUCUAAAUAAGCCUAAGGAAUGAAUAAAUGAUGUUUAUGAUGGUAAAUAAAUGAAUAAGAUAAAAAUAAUGAUAAUUUCCACAAUAAGGGUAAAAUUGUCAUUUUGCAUCUCGAGUAUGAAUUUUUAUGUUUUCAUGAACUCGAGUAUUUCUAGACUAUUAUGGACCUUGCCCUAGUGUCAAAAGAGUAAAAGGUUGCACAAAGGAUGAGAAGAAGACAAAGUCACCAUGUUUAGGGCAUUUUGGUAAUUUAAGUGAGAAAUGGAUAAACUUUAGAUAUAAAUAUCUAAAGCUCCAACAAUUUCCAACAGCUUCCAACCAUUUCUUCUUCCUUUCCCCUCUCACGUUUCUUCAUCUCCAUGGGAGCCUCCCUUAAAGCUUCCAUAACUUUCUCUCUCUAGCUUCAAUUUCAUGCUUUUGAGCACUUUUUCAUAGAACCUUUUGUGCUCUUUUACUCUCUCACCUUAAAACCCUUAAAAAGUCUUACUUCCAUCUUCCUCUCACUAGCUGGACAUGUAGAGAGAGAGAGAGUGAUUUCCCUUGUUAGCUUGAAGAAUUUUGAAAGAGAAUUCAACUACAAGACCAUCAGGGUGAGUAUAAGUUAAGGUUAAAUUUCUUUAGUUGUUGAUAAUGGCUAACAAUGGGGUUUGUGAGUGUUUUAUCAUUGAGGUUGUUUAUUCACUCUUAAGGUGACUAGAGUAGUGUGAAUAACUAGCCAUUUAAUGGUAAUUAGAAGAUAGUUAGGAAUAACUAGUGGAACUUGAUUAGGAAAGAGCUUUUGGAUUAUAUUAAUGCCAAUUUGGGUUGGUUGUGAUGUUGUGUGUGUAUAGGUUCCAACAAGGCCUCACAUGUCCAUUUGGAGUAUUAGUUGAGGUUAGAGUCAAGCAAAAGAAUUAACCAGACCGGUGAGUGAACUUGCAUUUCAAAAUUUGCUUUAGAAGAUGUAAAUGUAUUUAGAUGAAACAUUUGAAUGAUUUUAUCCAACCUUUGCUUAAAAAUGUGUGCUGAGGAACAAGCCCUUGAUAAAAUGCUUUGAUGUUGUGAAAUGUGAAAUGUGUAAAAGGAUGAAUCCAUGUGCUCCUAUAUUAUGUUGGUAUGUAUGUAUAUGAAUAUACAUUGUGCAUUGAUGAAUAAUGUUGUGUGAGGAUGUUGAAGUGUGCGAGUAGGGAGUGCACACAUGAUGAUGUUAGAGUGUGCGAGUAGGGAGUGCACACAUGAUGAUGUUGAAAUGUGCGAGUAAGGAGUGCACACAUGAUGAUGAAUGCAUAUGUAUAUAUAUGUGUGUGUUAUAGAAAGUUAUGAAAAUAUUUGUGAUUGUGAUGCAAGUUGGCAUUGUUAAUUGCUCUCAAAUUGCUUUUCAUUUCAACAAGAAAAUGACUUUUGAUGUAACAAGACCCAUUUCAAUUAAAAUGCUCUGUUUCUCGCUGCAACGAGAAUGUAACAAGACCUAUUUCAAUUAAAAUGCUCUGUUUCUCGCUGCAGCGAGAUUCAUUUUCGCUGCAGCGAGAAACUCUCAGGUUUUGGGGGUCACACUGGCCUGGUUCUCGCUGCAGCGAGAAUAAAUCUCACUAUAGCAAGAAACUCUCAGGUUCUAGUGCAGUGCUUUCACUUCGACAAAGAUUUUGACCACAUUCUCAUCCUAAAUGGGAAAAGCGGUAAACAUCAAAGUUGUAGACCUGCCUCUUAUAUUUCUAAUGAUUUAAAAAUCAGGUUAAUUGAACUUCUGUAUUGGGAGAUAUGAUAGAAAAAUUGAAAUAUAUGCAAACUGAGACUAUUUCUCGCUGCAGCGAGAAACUUGCUGCCAUGCUUGCUACCUUGCUUGAUUUUGACCUAUUUUUCACCCAUUUAACUUCAUGGAUUGAUCAUGGGUUUUUGCAAAACUAUGAGGUUAUUGAUCAAAGUUUGAAAUGAGGGGUUUUUUAGUAAGAAAUUAAAUCAAUUGCAUUGUUUUUGAAACAAGUGCAUAAUGAUUUCCAAAUUAAAUCGAUUGGUUUUUCCCUUCUUAUGUUCACUCACUGAGUUUUAUACUCACGUUUUUAAACUUCAUGUUUUUAGAUUUGGAAGCAGUUGGGACCUAGAUUGAGUUGUCCACAUAUGCUCACCUUCUUGGUAGGUACUAUGGCAUCUCAGUAGCUGUACCUUCACCCACGGUCACUUUGCUGAUGGUCAAGGGUCUAUUACCUAUGAACGCAUAUAUAUAAUGUAAUCCGCUAGGAUCCAUAUUAUAAGUCAAUUAUGUAUAUUUGAUUAUUGAUGCCACUAUGAGUUUCAAAUGGGUG
rnacentral:lncRNA from 1 species